rnacentral:rRNA from 2 species
UACGUAGGGGGCGAGCGUUGUCCGGAUUUACUGGGCGUAAAGCGCGUGUAGGCGGUCGGCCAAGUCCGGGGUGAAAGGCGGGGGCUCAACCCCCGAACUGCGCUGGAAACUGGCUGGCUUGAGUGUCGGAGAGGGGAGUGGAAUUCUCGGUGUAGCGGUGAAAUGCGUAGAGAUCGAGAGGAACACCCGUGGCGAAGGCGGCUCCCUGGCCGAACACUGACGCUGAGACGCGAAAGCGCGGGGAGCGAACGGG